CGAGUGGCGGACGGGUGAGUAAUGUCUGGGAAACUGCCCGAUGGAGGGGGAUAACUACUGGAAACGGUAGCUAAUACCGCAUAACGUCGCAAGACCAAAGAGGGGGACCUUCGGGCCUCUUGCCAUCGGAUGUGCCCAGAUGGGAUUAGCUAGUAGGUGGGGUAACGGCUCACCUAGGCGACGAUCCCUAGCUGGUCCGAGAGGAUGACCAGCCACACUGGAACUGAGACACGGUCCAG
rnacentral:rRNA from 1 species